GGCAAUGUCUCCAAAAAAAGUUGGUUCCCUGAGAAGGGGGCUACCGUGUGAGCACACUGUCUCUGAGAGUUUGUAAGAUGUAAGCAGGAAAUGAAGGCAGGUUCUGUGCUCUUCUCAGUCAGGAAAUACCAAACCUCCAGUGUGUAUUUAGAUGUCAAACGCCACAAAUAAGUUCUAAGUAGUUUAAAAUGUAAUUUUUGAGUGGUAUUAAAUUUCCUAUAGCCUGUUUAAAUCUAUAAUUUAACUUACCUUUCUGAGAACUCUAACCAUUUCCAUUUCCCUAAUUCUGUUCAUCAUUUAAAGUUGUGACUGUACCUAAUUUAGAUCUGAUGGGACCUUGGUCUAAAUUCAGAAGUGCACAGCUUUAGCAGCCAAGGAGGGCGCUCACUUUCCACGUGGAGGCUCUAAGGUCCUCCAGGGCAUCCCCCACCAUCAGCAGGUCGGUUCAUUUGUCACACUGAAUAACAGUAUCUCAGAUUCCAUCAGUUGGUAAAGUGUUUAAAAAACCUAUUAUUUUUCUAAAGGAAAUUUGAUGGUGUCAUGAAUAACCUGAUUGUUUUAAAAGGUCUUGUUUGUUUCCUGAGAGUUUGUCCUAAAAGGUUUUUGUUUUUUGGGUUUUUUUUUUUUUUAAUUUUAAAGGAACAUAUACUUUGAAUAACGAUCCUCCAGGCGUGGUGAGAAAAACCUAGGUGCUGGAAAUUGUCAAUAGGUUAAUAACCUAGGUGAGAAAAAACAUGGUGCUGGUAAUCGUCAAUAGGUCGAUGUAAGACUGGAUCAAUACUUGAUGUGUAUCAUUAUAGUAUGUAGGGGUUUUGUGCUUUUUUAAAAAAAAAUUCAACUUUUC
rnacentral:lncRNA from 1 species